AGUGAACGCUGGCGGUAGGCCUAACACAUGCAAGUCGAACGGCAGCACAGUAAGAGCUUGCUCUUACGGGUGGCGAGUGGCGGACGGGUGAGGAAUACAUCGGAAUCUACUUUUUCGUGGGGGAAAACGUAGGGAAACUUACGCUAAUACCGCAUACGACCUACGGGUGAAAGCAGGGGAUCUUCGGACCUUGCGAGAGUGAAUGAGCCGAUGUCGGAUUAGCGUGUUGGCGGGGUAAAGGCCCACCAAGGCGACGAUCCGUAGCUGGUCUGAGAGGAUGAUCAGCCACACUGGAACUGAGACACGGUCCAGACUCCUACGGGAGGCAGCAGUGGGGAAUAUUGGACAAUGGGCGCAAGCCUGAUCCAGCCAUACCGCGUGGGUGAAGAAGGCCUUCGGGUUGUAAAGUCCUUUUGUUGGGAAAGAAAAGCAGCAGGUUAAUACCCCGCUGUUCUGACGUUACCCAAAGAAUAAGCACCGGCUAACUUCGUG
rnacentral:rRNA from 1 species